rnacentral:lncRNA from 1 species
GUUGAUGUGUUCCAUUUUGUUUAAAAACAUAGAAUAGUACAAAAGGGAGGAUCAUUGGUCAUCUCGUUAGGGUCAGAGCUAUUUGUGGUCAGGGAUUUUGUGGUUGAAGACGUUGUGCAGACCAGAUAACCUGCUAGUGUUUAUGUGGUUGGGUCAGUUCUGAGUGGUUAGGUCUGCGUGAGGAGUAGAAAAGGGAGGAUCAUUGGUCAUGUGGUAGUGUUGUUAGAGGUUAUGUGGUCAGGAGAUUGACGGUGAGUUGGAAGGUGAGGGUCAGUGUCCAUGUGGCUAGUGUCUCAGUGGAUAGUAGGUAGAGUCUACACAUUGAGUUUAAGUGGUUAGGGUCUACACAUUGAGACUCGUUGUUAUAUCAAAAUAAUGUAAACACUAUCAUAUACACAUUACUUAUUAAGAAUCAUUCUUACAGAGAACGCUCUAAACACCAUUGUAUCCACUUCAUUCAGAUAAUCAUUCUUCAAAACACUGUAAACACCAACAAAACUCUAAACAUUGGAAAGAUAAACACACCGUCAAUCUAUGAAUACAAUACACAACAAAUCAGAAUGGAGAACAAGAAGGACAUGAGACCGCAGAAUCCAUAAUCAAGUACAAAUUAAAGACAAGACCGAUCAACAAAAUUAGAGAAAUUGGGUUGAUGAUAAGUGCUAAAGUGAUUACCUUUAACAUGAUCGAUAGCGUUACAAUUUAAACCACUUUCACUACCCGAAACUAUCUCCUUCUUAGCUUCAUCGUGUCUCUUCAAAGUGAAGGGUUUGACCGGAUACACAUAAUCGGCGGUGAUGUCUCAUGUUUCAGAUUUCGGGGAUGAAUCUUCCUUCUCUACUGAACACAACUUUAUCUCUAGAGUUUAGGACGAGGUUUGUGUCAUCUUCGCCUUUGAUUUCCAUUGUAAUUUCCUCGACUUUCAGCAUGGAACAAAGGAUCAGUGAAACAGAACCCUAAACGCCGACUCAUCCGGAGAUUCUUCUUCACUCGGCUCGCUGGAGCUCCAUAAACCGCGGUCUUCAACCUGCAACAGCUCCGCCGCAGACAGAUUUGGUAUAGAUCUUGGCCAACAAACUAAAGAGACACCGCACAUCUCGUAGGGGAGGGUGAAAUCCAGCGAAAAAGCAAAGAAGAAAAAAGGGAAAAAGGGGGAGAGAAACCCUCUAACGCCGGGAGAUGCGCCGUAAUCUGCUUCUUUGUUUCGCUAGAGAAGGUUGGAGAGAACCAAGUGGACAUUUUGCCAAACU